UACGUAGGGCGCAAGCGUUGUCCGGAAUUAUUGGGCGUAAAGAGCUCGUAGGCGGUUUGUCGCGUCGACUGUGAAAACCCGGGGCUCAACCCCGGGCCUGCAUUCGAUACGGGCAGACUAGAGUUCGGUAGGGGAGUCUGGAAUUCCUGGUGUAGCGGUGAAAUGCGCAGAUAUCAGGAGGAACACCGGUGGCGAAGGCGGGUCUCUGGGCCGAUACUGACGCUGAGGAGCGAAAGCGUGGGGAGCGAACAGG
rnacentral:rRNA from 1 species